rnacentral:snoRNA from 1 species
AUCCUUUUUGGUUCAUAAGUGUGAUGACUGGGUAUUCAGUGUUGUGUGAGAUGCACUUCCUUUAUUAUUGGCACAUUACCUAUGUGAUG